CUUUUUCUUGCUUUUGUAGGAAUUACUGCUGUAUCCCUCUCAUUAUCCUGCUGAUCACUUAAUGAACCUGGGGAGUUUUGCUGCAGUUACGGCUCUCGGAAGAAAGACCUGCACCAGAGAUCUGCAUGUAUUUUUAAAACAAACUGCAAGCCUCUCCUAAAGACCAUUUCAUCUCUGAUCCAUAAGAAACAUUUCAUGUUGGCAGAGAAAGUGCAAGAAACACAAUCCUGAAAAGCCUUUGGAUCUGAAACUUACUUUGAAGACAGGAAAAUAAAACACUCCAUCGUAACUACUGCACUGACCAUUUCUCUGAGUUUGCCAAGAAAAUCAUGUCAUCUUAUGGAGGCCACUGACUUAAUUUUGGACAAGUAUGAGUAGAAGGACCUCAGAAAUUAGAUUUUGAAAAUACAUGACAAAUACACGUAUUUCAGGAGUAUACAGAGGUCUCUUUACAGAGUACACAGGAAAUGUGAUUUUCUUUUAUUUUGCUGGACGCUUACUUCUAUUAUAAGAAUAUUGAAUACAAACACUUAUUAUAAAAAGAUGAAUUGUUCUUUUCCUAGAAUCACGCCAUCAAAUAUAUAUUGCUUUGAAAAAUUAAUAUUGGAAAAGAAGUACUGUAUAACUACACAGUCCGGUAUCUUUGCCUACCCU